ensembl:miRNA
CAGGUGGAGCAGCUGCAGGUGCAGAUCUUGGUGGUAGUAGCAAAAAUUCAAAGGAGAACUUUGAAGGCUGAAGUGGAAAAGGGUUCCAUGUG